rnacentral:rRNA from 1 species
UACGUAGGGGGCGAGCGUUGUCCGGAUUUAUUGGGCGUAAAGAGCGUGUAGGCGGCCCGAUAAGUCCGCCGUGAAAGUCCAGGGCUCAACCCUGGAAUGCCGGUGGAAACUGUCGGGCUGGAGUCCGGAAGAGGCGAGUGGAAUCCUGGUGUAGCGGUGAAAUGCGCAGAUAUCAGGAGGAACACCAAUGGCGAAGGCAGCUCUCUGGGACGGUACUGACGCUGAGACGCGAAAGCGUGGGGAGCGAACAGG